rnacentral:rRNA from 1 species
AGUGAACGCUGGCGGUAGGCCUAACACAUGCAAGUCGAACGGCAGCACAGUAAGAGCUUGCUCUUACGGGUGGCGAGUGGCGGACGGGUGAGGAAUACAUCGGAAUCUACUUUUUCGUGGGGGUUAAGGAGGGGAAACUAAGCCUAUUCCCCAAACGACCCAAGGGUGAAAAGCGGGGGUCUUUGGACCUUUCCGGGUUUGAUUGGGCGGAUGUCGGAUUAGCUAGUUGGCGGGGUAAAGGCCCACCAAGGCGACGAUCCGUAGCUGGUCUGAGAGGAUGAUCAGCCACACUGGAACUGAGACACGGUCCAGACUCCUACGGGAGGCAGCAGUGGGGAAUAUUGGACAAUGGGCGCAAGCCUGAUCCAGCCAUACCGCGUGGGUGAAGAAGGCCUUCGGGUUGUAAAGCCCUUUUGUUGGGAAAGAAAAGCAGCAGGUUAAUACCCCGCUGUUCUGACGGUACCCAAAGAAUAAGCACCGGCUAACUUCGUG